UCCCAGUUCGGAUUGUAGGCUGCAACUCGCCUACAUGAAGUCGGAGUUGCUAGUAAUCGCGGAUCAGAAUGCCGCGGUGAAUGCGUUUCCCGGGUCUUGUACACACCGCCCGUCACACCAUGGAAGGUUGGGGGCGCCCGAAGUUGGUCGAGGAAUAGAUUACCUAAGGCGAAACCAAUGACUGGGGUGAAGUCGUAACAAGGUACC
rnacentral:rRNA from 1 species